rnacentral:rRNA from 1 species
CGCAAGCCUGACGGAGCAAGACCGCGUGGGGGAGGAAAGCCUUUGGGUUGUAAACCCCUUUUCUCAGGGAAGAAGAAAGUGACGGUACCUGAGGAAUCAGCCUCGGCUAACUCCGUGCCAGCAGCCGCGGUAAUACGGAGGAGGCAAGCGUUAUCCGGAAUGAUUGGGCGUAAAGCGUCCGUAGGCGGUUCAUCAAGUCUGCUGUCAAAGACUGCAGCUCAACUGUGGAUAGGCAGUGGAAACUGACGAACUUGAGUAUGGUAGGGGUAGAGGGAAUUCCCAGUGUAGCGGUGAAAUGCGUAGAUAUUGGGAAGAACACCAGUGGCGAAGGCGCUCUACUGGGCCAUAACUGACGCUGAGGGACGAAAGCUAGGGGAGCG